rnacentral:ncRNA from 25 species
UGCGAUGAGUCGAGAAGUCAGGCAAUUCUUUGAAUUGUUCCGCGCAAGCGGCUAGUGACAUUUUGGCGUGGGACACAUUUACCUACCGGAUUAUGUAGGGUGUUCGGUUAUCAUACGUUGUGGAGCGU